GCAGUGGUAGCUCAGUGGUUGGGGCAUCAGGCUGCUGAUCUGAAGGACAUGAGUUCAAAUCCUACCACCACA